CCCUAAUUCCAUUAAUCCCUAAAUCAAAACAAACAAAACAUACGUAGAAGGGGAAGAAAAGAAUCAGGGAAACAGAGAGGGGGAAACGGGAAGAAGAGGAAGGAGAAGAGAGGGACAGAGAGAGGGAGACGGAGAGCUCGAGAGUCAAGGAAGGGGAGGAAGGCUGCUCCCGUCAUCACGGCCAAUUCCACCUAGACCGCCGCCGUCGCCAUUGAGGGAGUCACUGCUGCCGAAUCCUAACCGUCGCUGCUGUCAGAAGAACGAACCUGGAAGGAGAAGGACGAGGUCCGUUCUCGCACCGUCCUGCUCCGCCGCCGCCGCUACCGUCGAUUGGGGUCACACCAUUGCUGUUGCGCCCUGUUUUCGUUGAUAGAGCCACUGUUGAGAGUCUGCCGUCAGAGAAGCAUCGUUGGCGUUGCUGCUACGAACUAUUUCAGCUACUGCCCUGAAUGUGAGAAGGGAGAGGAGUUGUGUUCUUUCGCUGUCGCCGUCGUUGCCGAAACCAAGACAAAUUUACCGGAGAUAGUGUUGAUGAUAAUAAAGAACUGUUAGAGUUACUGUUGC